rnacentral:miRNA from 1 species
UACUUCAUGGAGGUUUCCUUGU